AGAGCGAACGCUGGCGGCAGGCCUAACACAUGCAAGUCGAGCGCCCCGCAAGGGGAGCGGCAGACGGGAGAGUAACACGUGGGAACGUACCCUUCAGUUCGGAACAACCCAGGGAAACUUGGGCUAAUACCGGAUACGUCCGUAAGGAGAAAGAUUUAUCGCUGAAGGAUCGGCCCGCGUCUGAUUAGCUAGUUGGUGGGGUAACGGCUCACCAAGGCGACGAUCAGUAGCUGGUCUGAGAGGAUGAUCAGCCUCACUGGGACUGAGACACGGCCCAGACUCCUACGGGAGGCAGCAGUGGGGAAUAUUGGACAAUGGGCGCAAGCCUGAUCCAGCCAUGCCGCGUGGGUGAUGAAGGCCCUAGGGUUGUAAAGCCCUUUCGGCGGGGAAGAUAAUGACGGUACCCGCAGAAGAAGCCCCGGCUAACUUCGCGCCAGCAGCCGC
rnacentral:rRNA from 1 species